AUAACUUACAUUAAAAUGUUGUAACUUCAACUGAAUAGAGAACAAUAGAGGUACGCCCUAAAACCGUUAUUAUUCAGUGCAUUAAAUACCUUGAACGGUAAGACACGUCUGCUUGCGUCUUGAUCCACUCGGGUAAACAUUGAAGGAACAAAUAUAGCAGGCUUCGUCUGCCCAUGUUACGUUCUUCACGGUAAUAGACGUUGAGUUGAGAGAUGCUUCCGUGAAAACCACCUUGCCUCGGUGCGGGUCUAUGAUUUGAGCUCCAAACCGCUUGCUGUAGGUGGCCAGAUUCUCCACCGAGUCGUCUUUGAACAGCCUCUGCCAGGUGACUUGCAGCACACCUGUCGGGUCCGCAUGAGUGCAGGUAUAUGAUGCGUCGGCAUUGAAGUCAACCCUGGUGUCUCCUCUAGCUACGACGUUGACAGAGACCGCUACAAAAGGAAGAAGGCAAGUUAACAGGACAAAUCUUACCUUCAAAGGCUGUGCACACACACCACACCAGCAGAAGCAGAGAAAGCCUGAAUGCACGUCUUCCACACAUACUGACCCACUGCAGAACCAGACGUUGGUCCAAUAUGUUCUGCUCAGACCGACGGCAGAACAAAAGGCAAACCAAAGUGAUGGUCCUUUGACAGGGGCUAUGCAGUGCCACCACUACAUAUAAUAAUAAACUACGUGUCAAGAGUUCCACUUCCUGCUCCAGCAACAAUGACAGAUGAUAGAUACCACCACAAGACCGAGUCCAGGUUAAUAACAGGAAACUUAUCAAGUGCUAUGUUUCUGUUAUUAAUAAUUCAUUUGAAAUGAUUACCUUAAUAAAUGCCCUAUUGACACAUACAGCAGAGCAAUACAUUAUUUGAAUUUAAGGGAGUUUGUGAGAGGGCGUGAGAGGAUUUUGCACAAGUAUAUGUGUACUGUGGCACUGCUGAGUGCUGAUGUACAUUUUACUGAUCAAUACCCAUUUUAUUAGCAUCACAUUUAGGCUA